AGAUCAACCCUAGUGGUUUAGCAAGCCAUAGAAUACUAGAGGCUACAAGAGUUUCUCAGAAACUGAAAUGAAUAAAAUAUGAGAGACUAAGGCUCUAUUUAUAGGCUUUUUCGACUUAAUUUCUAAGCAGCAUCGUGGUGCGUUGGAUUGAUCGUGGUGCGAUGGGAUGGCUGCUUGGUCCUCAAGAUUUGCAGAUUCUGUGCAGAUUUUUUCCAUUCUCAUCGUGGUACGAUAUAACCCAUCGUGGCACGACGUAAACUUCGGAAUUUGAAUUUCUCUCCAACAUCAAAGUUGUAUAUCUUUGUCUUAGCUUUCCAACGCAUGCUCGCAAGCCUCAAUCCGAUAAUCGUAGCUCCAGUUAUGGCCUGCAAAGUGAGAAGAGGUCAAACUGCUGUUUAUUUAUGAAAUAAGUGUGAAAACAAAAUAAAAGCAAAACUAUCCUAAACAUAGGAAACUCAUUGAAAACGCUAGAAAUAAGUGGAGAAAUCAUAUAAAUUUCGUAUCAUAAGAUAGAAGAAAGUGCAUUAUAAAUACACUGAUCACCAACCUUUGAUGUAUUGGUUUAGCAUGCGCCAUGUUCUGUCUUUUCAUUGGCCUUGACUUUGGCCAAUUCUCUUUGGUUCUUCUGAAUGGUAUA
rnacentral:lncRNA from 1 species